rfam:Picea glauca, whole genome shotgun sequence.
GAGAUGGCUGAGUUGGUCCAGGGCGCCAGAUUAAGGUUCUGCUCCGAAAGGGCGUGGGUUCAAAUCCCACUCUC